AUUGCUUCUCGGUCUUUUGGCUAAGAUCAAGUGUAGUAUUACAAUGACAGACUAAGAAAACUUUAUAUUAUUUCUGUCAGUGGUCUAGUUAUU
rnacentral:sRNA from 1 species